CCUACGGGUGACAGCAGUGAGGAAUAUUGGUCAAUGGACGAGAGUCUGAACCAGCCAAGUAGCGUGAAGGAUGACUGCUCUAUGGGUUGUAAACUUCUUUUAUAUGGGAAUAAAAUGUUCCACGUGUGGGAUUUUGUAUGUACCAUAUGAAUAAGGAUCGGCUAACUCCGUGCCAGCAGCCGCGGUAAUACGGAGGAUCCGAGCGUUAUCCGGAUUUAUUGGGUUUAAAGGGAGCGUAGGUGGAUUGUUAAGUCAGUUGUGAAAGUUUGCGGCUCAACCGUAAAAUUGCAGUUGAAACUGGCAGUCUUGAGUACAGUAGAGGUGGGCGGAAUUCGUGGUGUAGCGGUGAAAUGCUUAGAUAUCACGAAGAACUCCGAUUGCGAAGGCAGUUCACUGGACUGCAACUGACACUGAGGCUCGAAAGUGUGGGUAUCAAACAGGAUUAGAUACCCCUGUAGUC
rnacentral:rRNA from 1 species